UCUUCACCCCCCUCCCCAAAAAAAUACAAAAUAAAAUGCACGCUUCGGGAAGGAAAUGCUGUUGGAUAGAACCACAGCGCCCACUAUUACACGAGGCGGGAAUUAUGCGAUUUCACAAGACUUGGAACGGCUCUAUUUUUAAGAGGAAGAACAUUCGGAUGCAUUUCGACAAGUUUCGCGUAACUUCCAGUAAGCAGGAAUGCAAAACCUCGAGAAAGAACAACGAGCGAAUCUGAAAGCUGCAGUCACUCAAAAGCGCGGUGACGCACCGGCGUCAAAAGUUGGCGCAGGAAAGCAAACACGGCAAAGUGCACACAAAAUCGCCUGACCGGCCACGAUGUCGCCUCUAAAAAGUUUAUCUGAGUAUCCAAAGAGUGUCGCCUCCUUCUUUUUGCUGUGACACCGGACAGGGACGCGCAAGAAGCAGUACUUUUUUCCCCUUUUUUGCAAGUCGGGAAGUAAAAGAAAUUGGGGACCUACUUUUGGCCAGUUUUCUCGCCCUCGCCUUGGAUCUCAUCUUGUCGCCUUGUAGAUUCCUCUCGUCGUCCACCGUGAGCCCAGAAGCAGAAACAACACUAUCUUCAUCUCACCAGCAUUAUCACUUAUCUCUUCCCCUCCUCCUCCUCUAUACCUCCUCCUCCACAUGCUGCUCUCUCCUCACACUCGCACCUUCUCUCCCUCCCUCCCCCCCCGCUCCCCUCCCACUCCCACUUCAGCCACGGCUCUCAGCCCACCCAGCUCCGCUCUUGCCAGCACCCACUUGCAUUUAACUCCAGGCGGCAACAUGUUUCUCUGCAGCCGGCCUGUGCACGCGGCGAGAUUGGAUGACAAGUAAGGCAAGAAAAAAAAGUUUGUUAUAUGGUGGACGUCCUCUAAUUGCACAGUUCGCGGGGUAUUGUGCGUGUGUGCGCGCGUGCGUGUAGCAAUGCAGCAGCUAGCAGCUGUUAAACGCAUGCAUCCUCUCUUUCUCCCCCAGAGUAAACAUUAUUUCCACAUUUUGGCUGCUUGUAUAUAAAUUAAAAUGAAAUUAGAGCAAAAGAAGUGUAUACAAUACAACUGGACUACAGGCUGCAUGAGCAUGACUCUCCACCUGUCUUUUUGUUGUUGUUGUUAUUAUUUGUGUGUGUGU